UACGGAGGGUGCGAGCGUUGUCCGGAAUCAUUGGGCGUAAAGGGCGCGUAGGUGGCCCGGUCAGUUCGUGGUGAAAGCGCGGGGCUCAACCCUGCGUCGGCCAUGAAUACUGCCGCGGCUGGAGCACUGUAGAGGCAGGCGGAAUUCCGGGUGUAGCGGUGGAAUGCGUAGAGAUCCGGAAGAACACCGGUGGCGAAGGCGGCCUGCUGGGCAGUUAGCUGACACUGAGGCGCGACAGCGUGGGGAGCAAACAGG
rnacentral:rRNA from 1 species